CCCUUAGAUGUCGUGGGCCGCACGCGCGUUACACUGAUGCAUUCAACGAGCUUAUAACCUUGGCCGAGAGGCCUGGGCAAUCUUGUUAACGUGCAUCGUGAUAGGGAUAGAUUAUUGAAAUUAUUAAUCUUGAACGAGGAAUUCCUAGUAAACGCAGAUCAUCAAUCUGCAUUGAUUACGUCCCUGCCCUUUGUACACACCGCCCGUCGCACCUACCGAUUGGAUGGUCCGGUGAAGCCUCGGGAUUGUGGUUCUUGCCGCUUUAUUGUGGCGUGACCGCGAGAACUUGUCUAAACCUUAUCAUCUAGAGGAAGGUGAAGUCGUAACA
rnacentral:rRNA from 1 species